rnacentral:rRNA from 1 species
CACUUAGGGUGGGAACUCCAGGGAGACUGCCGGUGAUAAACCGGAGGAAGGUGGGGACGACGUCAAGUCAUCAUGGCCCUUACGAGUAGGGCUACACACGUGCUACAAUGGCGUAUACAGAGGGCUGCCAACCAGCGAUGGUGAGCGAAUCCCACAAAGUACGUCGUAGUCCGGAUUGGAGUCUGCAACUCGACUCCAUGAAGUCGGAAUCGCUUGUAAUCGUGGAUCAGAAUGCCACGGUGAAUACGUUCCCGGGCCUUGUACACACCGCCCGUCACACCAUGGGAGUGGGCUGCACCAGAAGUA